CUCUUUACUUUACCUCUUCCUAUUAUAGCAACCAUCGUUAUCAUCUUCAUCAGAUUCAAGCCUUCAUUGUUGUCGUCGAAUAAGAAAGCUAUCCUCAUACCAGCACAUGAACUGUUUCUUCUCCUUUUUCAUUUCACUUUUAUGAAGUAAACCUAGAUUCGGUGCUUUUUAUUCCCCUUCAAAAUCUUUAACCCGAUUUGGAUUGUUUAGAUAAACACAAAAACACAAUCUCUAUGACUCAAAUUAGCAGUACAGGGAGAGGGCAGUGCUAUUAUGAUUUCUUAGACUCCCUAAAAUUAAAUCUCCACUGAAAACCCUAGAUUUGGUCAUGACCAGAUUGAAAACUUCAUCUUCUUCUCGUUUGAAUGAUUUUUUUAUCUACCGUUUCAUCUUCUUCGUUGUGGAUUCCGCGAAUCAACAUCAGUGAUUGAAGCAUGAAUAUCAGUCCUAAUGGGUUUAAGAGAUUGGGUUUUCCCCAAUUUUGAGUCCACGGUUAGGGUUACAGGGCUGUGAAGAUGAUGGAGUUGAUGUGGAGUUAUAGGAACAGGAAUUUGUGGUAUCUGAUGAUGAUGUAUGAAGUUGUUUAUGGUCCUGCUUGAUGCUGAUGGGAAAAUAGCAUAGCAUAUUUCCAGAUUUUUAUGAGCAGCCUACAAACAUAAUUGGACUAAUUCUGAGACAAGGCUGUGGUGGUUAUAAGGAUCGGACAGCGAUUGUUUGAUUGAAUGUUUUAUGAAUUUUGCGAAGGUAUUUGUAUUGUUCAUACAGGAUAACAAUAUUGAAUUCUAGAGAAAUUUUUGGCCGAGUACUUAGCUCCUUGUGCUAAGAAGAGGUGGUGCAUUUCUCAGGUAUGGAAGUGGCCGACAAAUGACUGGAGUUUUUUCUCAGGGUGCUCGGACUUUUAUAUCUUGGUCUCGAGCUUCUCUUAAAUACAUCAUUUUGGCACUCUCUGGAAAUAUGGAUGAUGUACUAGCUACAUAUAAGGCUGAUACCUGGGAUGAAUCAGCAUACGGUGAAUGUUUCCUCGCAGUUUCACGGUUAGAAAGAUGGGCAUGAGAAGAUGUCUAAAAGCGAUGUUUCAUCCGCCAUCCUUAUCGAAUAUGAUGAGGAAGUUGAUUUUCCGAGUAUGUCCUUGCAAAGGAUUGCAUUAUCGUUUAGUCUACUAACGAAUUGCAGAAACGGAGUUUGAAGCUGCUCUGGUUGCGGCCUUCAGGAGGGAAAAGGAGGAACAAAUAGCAAUGCAGUUACUGGCUGUUGAAAUUCAGGCAGCAAUGCAAUUGGCCAAACGAAGGGAAGAUGAAAUUAAAAAUCUGAAAAAUGCUGCUUUGAUUUCGCGAGGCCGGAAUCAAAAGGUUGGAGGAAGUUGCAUCUGGGAAGAUCUCAGCUGAGGUGCAUCUCUUACAGGAAAAAAAGGAAUAUCUGAAAGAGGUGGAAUUACAGUCCUUGGAGUGAAGCUCCAUAUAAGGAUUUGCAGAGAAGACUGCAUUAGGAGGGUUAUCCUUUGAUGGAUUCUUGGCACCGAUACCAAGGAGACAUUGCCUCUAUCCUGCGUAUAACCAGACGAAGAAGGUUAGAUCGCAAGAAGCAACAAUCAGAUAUAAAUGUUUUCUAGUGCUUCGUCUUUGGACUUAAAGGUACUGGGAAGUCAUCAUUGUUGAACUAUUUUCUUGGAAGUUACCAGUGAUGGAGACAUUGCAUAGUAGGAAGCUGGUCCAUGCUAGAGGUUGUUAAUCAUAUGCCAGAAAUUUUCGUUUCAAAUGUAGCUUAGUGUAUGUUUCUGAACCCGGGUAAGUAUGUGCUCGAGUCCCUUUGGAAUACAUAAGCUACGUGGACCGCCAUCGCAACAAGGUACAUAUUGUAGUUACACAAUGAUGCGUGUUUGUACACCACUUGACUAAGCAACUUUUUUUGGUCUCUAACCUAAUCUGGGAAAUGGGAGGGAAUCUCAUAUUGAUAAAGUAUGGAUGAUUCCUUUGUAUAGUUGGGCGUUAGGAGGGAAUCUCAGCUGGAAACUGGACUAUAACACUCCCUCUCUGCUCACCCGUAUGUUUUUCUACUGAGAUUUCUUUAUUUGGCUAUUACUUGUCAUUAUUUGAAAGCAAAACAAUUUUGGAAAUAACUCUAUGUUUGCUAUUAGUUACAUCCUUUCUCAUUCCUUAUAAACUGAAGAGUAAACCCAUGUAUGCCUUCUCUUUUUGAAUUGUAAGAUUCCUUUGUUCAAUAAUAAACAAUCAUGUGGUGUAGAAAUUUAUGCAUGUUUGUUUUGCC